UUUAAAGCACAUCACUCCCUCUUUGUUGGUCGAUGUGGGAUAUUACAAUCCACCCCCCUUAGGGGCCCGACGUCAUCGUCGGCACACUUGCAUGACGUCCUUGUCGGUACACUUGCAUCACAUGGCAGAGUGACUCUGAUACCAAAUUGUCACAUCCUGGGAUUAGCUCUGCCGUAGCACGAUAUUGUCUGCUUUGGGCCCCCC
rnacentral:lncRNA from 1 species